UACAGAGGUCUCAAGCGUUGUUCGGAUUCAUUGGGCGUAAAGGGUGCGUAGGCGGGUCUUUAAGUCAGGGGGGAAAUCCUGGAGCUCAACUCCAGAACUGCCUUUGAUACUGAAGAUCUUGAGUCCGGGAGAGGUGAGUGGAACUGCGAGUGUAGAGGCGAAAUUCGUAGAUAUUCGCAAGAACACCAGUGGCGAAGGCGGCUCACUGGCCCGGUACUGACGCUGAGGUGCGAAAGCGUGGGGAGCAAACAGG
rnacentral:rRNA from 1 species